rnacentral:rRNA from 1 species
GACGAACGCUGGCGGCGUGCUUAACACAUGCAAGUCGAACGGAAAGGCCCUGCUUUUGUGGGGUGCUCGAGUGGCGAACGGGUGAGUAACACGUGAGUAACCUGCCCUUGACUUUGGGAUAACUUCAGGAAACUGGGGCUAAUACCGGAUAGGAGCUCCUGCUGCAUGGUGGGGGUUGGAAAGUUUCGGCGGUUGGGGAUGGACUCGCGGCUUAUCAGCUUGUUGGUGGGGUAGUGGCUUACCAAGGCUUUGACGGGUAGCCGGCCUGGGUGGGUGACCGGACACAUUGGGACUGAGAUACGGCCCAGACUCCUACGGGAGGCAGCAGUGGGGAAUAUUGCACAAUGGGCGGAAGCCUGAUGCAGCAACGCCGCGUGCGGGAUGACGGCCUUCGGGUUGUAAACCGCUUUCGCCUGUGACGAAGCGUGAGUGACGGUAAUGGGUAAAGAAGCACCGGCUAACUACGUG